rnacentral:rRNA from 1 species
CAAUAGCGUAUAUUAAAGUUGUUGCAGUUAAAAAGCUCGUAGUUGGAUUUGUGGCUGUCACGGGCGGCCUAUCACUUAGUGUUAGUGCUUGCCUGUGUCGCCAUCCUUGGGUGGAGCCCGUGUGGCAUUAGGUUGUCGUGCGGGGGAUGCCCAUCGUUUACUGUGAGAAAAUUAGAGUGUUCAAAGCAGGCUUAUGCCAUUGAAUAUGUUAGCAUGGAAUAAUAAGAUAGGACCUCGGUACUAUUUUGUUGGUUUGCGCACCGAGGUAAUGAUUGAUAGGGACAGUUGGGGGUAUUCGUAUUUCAUUGUCAGAGGUGAAAUUCUUGGAUUUCUGAAAGACGAACUACUGCGAAAGCAUUUACCAAGGAUGUUUUCAUUAA